CUGCGCGGUGCUAACCCCGGGCUUGUCGGAUUUUUUACCAUUUGAAGAAGGAAGCCCCAAUGCCUGUGCUAGAUCCACCAUGCCAUUCAGUGUUGCAGGCCCUGACGAAUCUUGUGAUUGGUCUGUGUCAAAGAAAUGGAUACAGAU
rnacentral:snoRNA from 1 species